rnacentral:rRNA from 1 species
ACGAGUAGAGGUGGCGCACGGGUGAGUACGCGUAAAUAAUCUACCUGAUGUCUGGGAUAACCAGCCGAAAGGCUGACUAAUACCGGCUAUAUGCUACCCUAUUGGGGGUAUCAGGAAAGGUGGCCUCUUCUUGAAAGCUAUCGCAUUGGGAUGAGUUUGCGUACCAUUAGCUAGUUGGUGGGGUAAUGGCCCACCAAGGCGACGAUGGUUAGCGGGUCUGAGAGGAUGAUCCGUCACACUGGCACUGGAACACGGGCCAGACUCCUACGGGAGGCAGCAGUGAGGAAUAUUGCGCAAUGGGGGAAACCCUGACGCAGCGACGCCGCGUGAGUGAGGAAGGCCUUCGGGUCGUAAAGCUCUGUCAGAUGGGAAGAAGUGCAUAUUGGUUAAUACCCAUUAUGUUUGACGGUACCAUCAAAGGAAGCACCGGCUAACUCCGUGCCAGCAGCCGCGGUAAUACGGAGGGUGCAAGCGUUGUUCGGAAUCACUGGGCGUAAAGGGCGCGCAGGCGGUCUGUUAAGUCAGAUGUGAAAGCCCACGGCUUAACCGUGGAAGUGCAUUUGAAACUGGCAGACUUGAGUAUCAGAGGGGAAGGUGGAAUUCCCGGUGUAGAGGUGAAAUUCGUAGAUAUCGGGAGGAAUACCGGUGGCGAAGGCGACUUUCUGGCUGAAUACUGACGCUGAGGCGCGAAAGCGUGGGGAGCAAACAGGAUUAGAUACCCUGGUAGUCCACGCCGUAAACGAUGUGAACUAGAUGUUGGAGGUAUUGAUCCCUUCGGUGUCGGAGCUAACGCAUUAAGUUCACCGCCUGGGGAGUACGGUCGCAAGAUUAAAACUCAAA